AUAUUAAGUACAGAAGGUAUAUUAAGUACAGAAGGUAUAUUAGGUACAGAAGGUAUAUUAGGUACAGAAGGUAUAAUUAGUAGGUUUUCCUGGUAAGGAAGAACCAACAUAUUCUGGCUUGAACUGUAAAAUAUAUCUCUAACAUUUUUACAGGAUUUAUCAAUUAAGUAUUUUGGGUAGUGUAGAUCUUUAGCUAUUUUAUAAAUUUUCAAGAUUUCUUCAUAUAUGAACUCUGGACAACAAUACAUGAAGCUCUGAAAAGUAUACAAUGCCCGUCACGGCAUUAUGCCGGGUGAGCGCCCCGACAUAAUGCUGUGAAGAAAAUCAAAGGCCUACGAUAUUUGGGUCUUUUCUCGUCAGUGCAUUCUGCUGGGUAGCAGCCUUUAGCAUGACGUCACGGCGUGCCGCCACACUCCACAGUGACUCCUCAGUGUUUCUUUAACGCAGUUAAAGUACGAACAAAUGUCUUCUUGGAAUGGCCAGGCCGAGGUUUGGCAGACGGUAAGUCGACACUGCAACCAUCCUUGAACCAUGCACCCAGUUCCUUGCUGAAUGCUCACACACAUUAACAUUCUCCAUUAUGUUUUUCGGCUGGUGUCCAGCUUUGUGAAGCUCUAUGAUUUGAGCUAUAUUUUCAAGUGGAAAAGACUUCCUUUUACCCAUAAUCAAAGAUGUACUGCCCCAAAACCAAAGGGAACAAUGGACAAAAGAUGGGGCACAUGAGAGGCUUAAGUGCAACACUUCCCCUCACCAUGUAAGGAACGUGAGCAAUAAGAAGUCACUGUGAAGUGUGGCGGCAGGCCGUGACGUCAUGCUAACAGCUACUACCCAGCAGAAUGCACUGACGAGAAAAUACCCCCUUUCUGGGAGGCCUUUGAUUUUCAUCACAGUAUUAUGCUGGGGCACUCACCCGGCAAAAUACCGUGACGAACACUGUAGAUGACCUGGAGGUUACCUGGAGGUUAUUCCGGAGAUCAACGCCCCCGCGGCCCGGUCCAUGACCAGGCCUCCUGAUGGAUCAGGGCCUGAUCAACUAGGCUGUUACCGCUGGCCGCACGCAGUCCAACGUACGAGCCACAGCCCGGCAGAUCCAGUAGGAACAAUGUUUUGUUGAUUUUCUGUGCAUUUUGAAUUUAUAAUCAUUAAUAAAAGACAAUGAGUUACUUAAUUCAAAUUCAACAUUAAAAUUUAUGGAGUGAGCUAGAAUAUUUAAUUCAACGAGAAAAUUGCUUAUAUCUAUAUUCUUAGACAUUAUAUAUAAAACUUGAUGAAUAUAUCUGCACCACUUUGCUCUAUUGGGAAAGGUUUUGUUUAAGCAGUUUUGUUUCACAAUAUUCCAUGUACAAACUGCUAAGGACAGGUGAGAGAGGAUUUCCCAUUGCCAUACCAAACUUCUGAGUGUAAAACCCGUUAUUAAACACGAAUAUUGUAUCAACAAUACAAAGUUUAACACUCUCAGUGAUUGUAGGUACUGACAAUGAUAAAUCUUAAUUACAGAGUUCUUCAGAUAGGGAACUUAAUAAAUUAUUAACUGGAACUUUCGUAAUCAAGUAAGUAACAUCAAUUAUAACCAUACUGUAAUCAAUUAAACUGGUCAAAGUGCUUAAUAUAUCAACUAAGUCAAUAUUAUUAUUAACAUUAAAGUUAGAAAUUAAGUCAAUUAUUGGGUGUAACAUCAUUUAGCCAUUUGUAUGAUUUAUUGGAAAUUGAUCCUAUAGAGCUAAUAAUGGGUCUGCCUGGAUUACCUAUUUUGUGUGUUUUUAUUAAUCCAUUAAUAUAUGGUAAAGAUGGAUUACUGGUCAUGAAUAUUUUAAUUAGUUUAUUUUUGCCUGUCAGUAGUCGUUAUAUUGUUUCGGUAAAGUUACUUUUAUCUGAAGCUGAGGGAUUAUUUCUAAGUUUGUAAUAUAUAUCUGUAUCAUCUAAGAUUUUGUUUAUUUUACCUUGGUAAUCAAUUUUCCUUUAUAAUUAAUGUGCAGAUAUUUUUCCUGCUUUAGUAAUAUGCAUAUAAUUAUUAAUAAUAAGAUUUUCAAGACUUGAGAAUUCUUUGAGGACAAAUGUGAACAUUUUGUUUUAUCAUAGACCCAUAAACUAUCCCCUUACUUAUAUUAAUUUCAUUAAUGGAUAAAUCAGUAAUUUUUUCCAAGUCACCAAAAAUUUUGUCAAUUUGCACAUUAUUGACUUUAGAGGUUGUAAAACUUAGACUGGUUGUAAAACUUAGACUGGUUGUAAAACUUAGACUGGUUGUAAAACUUAGUUGUAAAACUUAGACUGGUUGUAAAACUUAGACUGGUUGUAAAACUUAGACUGGUUGUAAAACUUAGACUGGUUGUAAAACUUAGACUGGUUGUAAAACUUAGACUGGUUGUAAAACUUAGACUGGAACCUGGAGCAGCAGUUGUGCUCUUAACUGUCUCAUUACACAAGCUAAUUAUAUAGUUGCUAUUAGCAUGUUUAGCCCAGUCAUUGUUUUUAUUUACAUUGUCUAAUUUGCAUUUUAGUUUAUUUUUAAGUUCAUUAUGAACUCUUCUGAGUUUGUAAAGUAAAAGGACACAAGUGCAACUAAUGUGACAUUUAUUGUGGCAACGUUUCGCUCUCCAGGAGCUUUAUCAAGCCAUUACAGUAAUGGCUUGAUAAAGCUCCUGGAGAGCGAAACGUUGCCACAAUAAAUGUCACAUUAGUUGCACUUUUGUCCUUUUACUUUACAUAUUGUCGGUAAUUCUACCAACUUUAUUAUCUUCUGAGUUUAUUAUAACAAUGAUCUAUCACACUUUAUUUCCAUUAUAUUUCAGUAAUUUGAUUAAAAUAUUUUUUUUGCGU